rfam:Serratia proteamaculans 568, complete genome.
CCUCGUAGUGUCUGCGCAAGCAGAUACUGCGAGGGCUUCUUUCCGUCUUCAACGAGGGUCUGCUCGUG